CUUGAGCGAGCCCAGCCAGAGCGGCUCCUCGCGGUCCUGGCCGUACGUCGCCAGCAGGGCCUGGGCCUC
rnacentral:antisense_RNA from 1 species